rnacentral:rRNA from 1 species
UACGUAGGGGGCAAGCGUUGUCCGGAUUUAUUGGGCGUAAAGAGCUCGUAGGUGGUUUGUCGCGUUGUUCGUGAAAUCUCACGGCUUAACUGUGAGCGUGCGGGCGAUACGGGCAGACUUGAGUACUGCAGGGGAGACUGGAAUUCCUGGUGUAGCGGUGGAAUGCGCAGAUAUCAGGAGGAACACCGGUGGCGAAGGCGGGUCUCUGGGCAGUAACUGACGCUGAGGCGCGAAAGCGUGGGGAGCAAACAGG